CCCAACUUCGGUUAUAAGAUCCCUCAAAGAUGAUGAGGUUAAUAGGUUCGAGGUGGAAGCGUGGUGACACGUGGAGCUGACGAAUACUAAUCGAUCGAAGACUUAAUCAA
rnacentral:rRNA from 1 species